AUUGAGACAGAUACGAGUUGAAAUAGCCGCUUCUAAAAUCUCGUUCUAAUCUGAUAUAAUCUGAUUUUGAGCUUAGGAAUGCAACAGAAAAUCUCUUCUUCUUCGUCUUGAUCACACGUUAUCGCAACGCUGGUUCAACAUUUAACAUGAAAGAGCACACUCGUAUGGUACUUGAUCGUUGCACAUUAGGAAGCUGCUCGAAGAAGAAGGCGAUCCCGUAUUAUCUUGUGAAAGGAUUAAUCUUCUCCCGGACGGAAAACGCCCUGUAGUCACAAUUGCAAUGGACUCACUUGGACUUCGCGGCGCAUCACGUCACACACACGUUCGUGGCAGAUAAAAGCGGAUGCACACCGUUACCGUUAUUCACAAGUGAAUUAUCCAACUUAUAUAUUAAUAUCCAAUUUAUAUGUCAAGUAAAUUAUUUUCUCCUUGCAUAUUAUUAUAAUUAAUUGCUCUAUGCAAAAUCACAUAAAAAAUAUUCCACAAUAUGUACAAUGGCUUUUAAUGUAUCGCCACACCUGAGAUUAAUAACGCGUGUAAGU